GAAAUGCGAUAAGUAGUGUGAAUUGCAGAAUUCAGUGAAUCAUCGAAUCUUUGAACGCACAUUGCGCCCCUUGGUAUUCCAUGGGGCAUGCCUGUUCGAGCGUCAUUUGUACCUUCAAGCUUUGCUUGGUGUUGGGUGUUUGUCUCGCCUCUGCGCGCAGACUCGCCUCAAAACAAUUGGCAGCCAGCGUAUUGAUUUCGGAGCGCAGUACAUCUCGCGCUUUGCACUCAUAACGACGACGUCCAAAAGUACAUUUUUUACACUCUUGACCUCGGAUCAGGUAGGGAUACCCGCUGAACUUAAGC
rnacentral:misc_RNA from 1 species